rfam:Lysinibacillus sphaericus OT4b.31 genomic scaffold Ls31_scaffold1, whole genome shotgun sequence.
AAUGUAAAUUAAAUAAGUCGUCGUAUAAUGUCGGGGAUAAGGCCCGUGAGUUUCUACCAAGUUACCGUAAAUAACUUGACUACGAUUUAGUGUUAUACGAAU